rnacentral:lncRNA from 1 species
GAAGGAGUGGAGAUGAGCCCAGACACAACCCUGGAUGUGUGCAUUGCUUUCAAAAAGUAAUGCCAUUAGUUGUGACGCUGACCGUGCCUUUACUCCUCUGCCAAAUAUACUAUGGGGCAGCUGGAACUAACGGACACUUCUAAGGUUCAUACUGAGGUGGAACUCUCACUGGACCACUGGGAAUUUUAUCCAAAUAAUGCAAAUAUCACAGCAAGUUCAUGACGCUCUAUUUCACAAAUGGGACUUUCUGAGGUCAGAUGAUUCCAGUUACUGUAAUGUAUGGAUUGCUGGAUCGAAGAGCAUGCACUACGGGGAAUGAGAUUGACAUCUGUGAAGAAAGGAAAAAAACAUGUCUAGGAUAAAGAAAAGUUGCUUCAUAGAAAGCAGACCUUUAAAAAUGCUACAUUAAUAUUAAAAAUAUACACUGGAGGCAACCAUGGCAGCCUAAGUGCACAAAUGGUUCCUAGGAAGACAGCCAUUUCACUGUGUAUACCUUAUCAUGGGGAGAGCACUACACUCAACUCUAUAAAGACUGGCUUUCAACUUCAAUUCCCCUCUUACAAGUGAGAUGGUAUUAUAGUCAUGAAUGAAUGGAAUAACUGCAACACAGAAAACACUACAUUUCAGCAACUGCUUGGUCAGCCAUGGAUAGGAAUGAAGUAUUGCCACUCCAGAACACAAAACAGCAGCACUGCAAACCUCCACCCUGUGCUGACUCAGACAUCCACUCCAGUAGGCCAACAAUGCUGUAACUGCUACCCCUGAUUAUAGAUUUGUCAAUAAAAAGAGAAUUUGGACAACA